UCUGAUAUGAAAGUGAGGACAAUGUGUUCGGCUGUUGAUUAUUUAACUUGUACAUGAUUGAUAAUUUUGGCUUGUGUGAACUGAAAAGAAGAGUUAACGAGUUUGAUUUCAGAAUGACCUCGUCCAUGGAUGGCCUAUUGACUCCUACAUCUGGAGGUGUGUCGAUAUAAGCGUUGCCUAAUUAUUGAGCAGCAACGUCUGAAAAUAUAUCAUGUGCAAUAUAUUGUCAUAUAUACGUAGUUGUAUAAAAAAAUCUCUGUUGAUUUAAUUUGGCAGAAUCCCGAAGAGCAGAUUGCCAUUGUAGACGCUCAGUACAUGGUCCAUCAUGCAGUUCCCAUGCUC
rnacentral:lncRNA from 1 species